rnacentral:rRNA from 1 species
UACGUAGGCAGCGAGCGUUGUUCGGAGUUACUGGGCGUAAAGGGUGUGUAGGCGGUUCUUUAAGUUUGGUGUGAAAUCUCCCGGCUCAACCGGGAGGGUGCGUCGAAUACUGAGGGACUAGAGUACGGGAGAGGAAAGUGGAAUUCCUGGUGUAGCGGUGAAAUGCGUAGAGAUCUGGAGGAACACCGAUGGCGAAGGCAGCCUCCUGGGCUAGUACUGACGCUCAUGCACGAAAGCGUGGGGAGCAAACAGG